rnacentral:rRNA from 1 species
GAUGAACGCUGGCGGCGUGCCUAAUACAUGCAAGUAGAACGCUGAAGGAGGAGCUUGCUCUUUCCGGAUGAGUUGCGAACGGGUGAGUAACGCGUAGGUAACCUGCCUGGUAGCGGGGGAUAACUAUUGGAAACGAUAGCUAAUACCGCAUAACAGUAGAUAUUGCAUGAUAUCUGCUUGAAAGGGGCAAUUGCUCCACUACCAGAUGGACCUGCGUUGUAUUAGCUAGUUGGUGAGGUAACGGCUCACCAAGGCGACGAUACAUAGCCGACCUGAGAGGGUGAUCGGCCACACUGGGACUGAGACACGGCCCAGACUCCUACGGGAGGCAGCAGUAGGGAAUCUUCGGCAAUGGACGGAAGUCUGACCGAGCAACGCCGCGUGAGUGAAGAAGGUUUUCGGAUCGUAAAGCUCUGUUGUAAGAGAAGAACGAGUGUGAGAGUGGAAAGUUCACAC